AUAUAUAUAUAUAUAUAUAUAUAUAUAUAUAUAUAUAUAUGGAGAGAGAGAGAGAGAGAGAGUUAAACAUGGUGUCCAUGUUACUAACCUUAGCUUUGACCAGAUAUGUUUUAUCCAUUCAAGUGUAAGUAAUUGGGAUUGUUGGGUGGCUUCUAUUCUUACUAUGAAUCAUUAUAUCAGAAAAUAAUAAAUCUCUAAAAUCAUUGGAAUGUAAUGUAGAUAACUAUGUAGAAGGCCAUAUUCCACUUCACACAGUAAAACUUAGUUGGAUUUUCCCACUAGAUACUAUAGCUGUAUCUCCGAAGUCUUCAAACAUCUAAUUCUGGGAUUCUUUUUUUUUUCCUCCCUUCUGUCCCUGAAACAGCUUCUAAUAUUCUCUCCAUUUUUCAGAUCUCAGCAUGGCACAAAACUAUCUCCUUCAAACUGCAUGCUACGCACACACCCACACCCACGCAAACAGACACACAGGAAUAGUAAAAUUAACACUGACCAUGCAGAGGUGCCCGGGUGACUCAGUCAGUUAAGAUUCUGACUCAACUUCAGCUCAGGUCAUGAUCUCAGAGUUCAUGAGUUCGAGCCCUGCAUCGGGCUCAGCAGACAGUGCACAAAGCCUGUUUGGAAUUCUCUCUCCCUCUCCGCUCUUCCCCACCCCAAUCCCACUAGUGUGUGCGCACUCUCUCUCUCUCUCUCUCUCUCCCUAAAAAUAAAUAAAUAAACUUAAAAAAAUAUUAACCAUGCAUUAUUCUUCGAACUUGCCAUCCUAGAGUGGGAACCAAAAGGCUGUUCUUGGUUUAUUUUGAUAGUUAUAUUCACUGAAAGUGUUUGUCAUCUGAUUCCAUUUGUUGAAGAGGUAGUACAUUGGGAUGAAUUUACACUAUGGAUGAACUUCUCUUGCUUUAACAGGCCUCAGUCUUGGGUCAAUCUUUUAUAUAAAGUGUGUAGGAGAAAUUGAGUGUGGCUGAAAAUGGACUCAUAUUCAAGGCAGAUAUAGGAAUUUAUGUAAGUAAAUUCACAUCUCUAAGGAUUUAAGCUACUCCCAUGAUAACUUAGAAUGUUAAAAAAAAUUCUGUGAGAUAAAAAUAUAUAAAUACAUAAAUAUAUGGCAUGACAUUUUAUUUUACAUGGCAUCUUAUGUAAUCUGUCAAAUCAAUGUCAAUAUUUUAGUAAUCACUUUAACAACAGUUCUUAUUUCUAUUUUAAAAAUAUUUUUCCAUCAUAAUACAGUUGAUUUCUCCCAACAUCCAGUAAUCAUAACAUGAAGUCAAUGCAUUGUCAUUAUAUAUAAGAAGCAAGCUUCUGCUUUUUAGCAACAUUUCUUUAGGUAAAUGUUUAUGAAUUUGUUGUUGUUGUUGUUGAAAAUGGUCUAAGUAUUGAAGUUCAAGUCCAUUGUUUGGCUGAUCAUUGUCUAUAAUUUGGAAUCUCUAUCUCCAUUCCUACAACAAAUAGACAGUACUGAUCAAACCACAUGUUUACUAAACAUAUUUAUAAUAUCAAAAACUCCAAUGAAAGGAUAUAUGCAUUUUCUGAAUACAAUUGAUAUUUGAGUAGUAUCAGCAAAAUGAACUAGGCAUAAAUUGCAAAAUAAACUCAAUAAUAUAGUUAUCAGAUAAUAAAGUUAUGAUAACUGUAUCUUUUCUUUAUUAUCAUAAUGUCCUAUUAGGUCAAAUAUAUGUAGUUUAAACUGGUCUCUAAUGUAAUUAUGUCUUUUUAACAGGUAUUUUAGUCAUAAACUUAAAAUUAAUUUAAAAAAAUAUUCAAGUUCACCACCAACCAUUGUAUAUAUAGAGAUGACCAAUGUGGUAAGUAUAUCCUCAGAGAUACACAUUAUUUAUAACAGAAAAUUUGGAACAAACUUACUUUUUUUGUUUAUUUAUUUUUGAGAGACAGAGACAGAGCAUGAGCAGGGGAGGGGCAGAGAGAGAGGGAGACACAGAAUCCAAAGCAAGUUCCAGACUCUCAGCUGUUGGCACAGAGCCUGACCUGGGGCUUGAACCCAUGACUUGCAAGAUCAUGACAUGACCUGAGCUGAAGUUGGAAGCUUAACAGUGAGCCAUCCAGGCUCCCCUAAACAUAUGUUUGUUAACAAAACAUUGUCCAAUCAGGGAAUUGUCAAAUAAAUUUCAAAUAGAUUAUUAUACUUUAACUUUCUGGAUACAUUAAAUAUGAUGUAUCCAAAUGUGUGUACUAUGAGAAAA